rnacentral:rRNA from 1 species
UACGGAGGAUGCGAGCGUUAUCCGGAUUUAUUGGGUUUAAAGGGCGCGUAGGCGGUCCGUUAAGUCAGCGGUAAAAUUGCGGGGCUCAACCCCGUCGAGCCGUUGAAACUGUCAGACUUGAGUUGGCGAGAAGUACGCGGAAUGCGCGGUGUAGCGGUGAAAUGCAUAGAUAUCGCGCAGAACUCCGAUUGCGAAGGCAGCGUACCGGCGCCACACUGACGCUGAGGCACGAAAGCGUGGGGAUCGAACAGG